GACGAACGCUGGCGGCGUGCUUAACACAUGCAAGUCGAACGGAAAGGCCUUUUCGGCGGUACUCGAGUGGCGAACGGGUGAGUAACACGUGGGUGAUCUGCCCUGCACUCUGGGAUAAGCCUGGGAAACUGGGUCUAAUACCGGAUAGGACCGCACUUUAGUGUGUGUGGUGGAAAGUUUUUUCGGUGUAGGAUGAGCCCGCGGCCUAUCAGCUUGUUGGUGGGGUAAUGGCCUACCAAGGCGGCGACGGGUAGCCGGACUGAGAGGUUGGUCGGCCACAUUGGGACUGAGAUACGGCCCAGACUCCUACGGGAGGCGGCAGUGGGGAAGAUUGCACAAUGGGCGCAAGCCUGAUGCAGCGACGCCGCGUGGGGGAUGACGGCCUUCGGGUUGAAAACUCAUUUCGCCAGGGACGAAGCGUUUUGUGACGGUACCUGGAGAAGAAGCACCGGCUAACUACGUG
rnacentral:rRNA from 1 species